UGGGGAAUAUUGCACAAUGGAGGGAACUCUGAUGCAGCGACGCCGCGUGAGUGAUGAAGGAAUUCGUUUCGUAAAACUCUGUUCUAUGGGAAGAAAAGGACUGUACCAUAGGAGAAAGCUCCGGCUAAAUACGUGCCAGCAGCCGCGGUAAUACGUAUGGAGCGAGCGUUGUCCGGAAUUAUUGGGCGUAAAGGGUGCGCAGGCGGCUUUACAAGUUGGAUGUGAAAUAUUGUGGCUCAACCACAAACGUGCAUCCAAAACUGCAAAGCUUGAGUUAAGGAGAGGUAAGUGGAAUUCCUGGUGUAGCGGUGGAAUGCGUAGAUAUCAGGAGGAAUACCGGUGGCGAAGGCGACUUACUGGACUUAAACUGACGCUCAGGCACAAAAGCGUGGGGAGCAAACAGG
rnacentral:rRNA from 1 species